UGGCCUUGACAUGGUAGAAACUUUCCAGAGAUGGAUUGGUGCCUUCGGGAAUCUACAUACAGGUGCUGCAUGGCUGUCGUCAGCUCGUGUCGUGAGAUGUUGGGUUAAGUCCCGCAACGAGCGCAACCCUUUUCCUUACUUGCCAGCAUUUCGGAUGGGAACUUUAAGGAUACUGCCAGUGACAAACUGGAGGAAGGCGGGGACGUACGUCAAGUCAUCAUCGGCCCUUACGGCCAGGG
rnacentral:rRNA from 1 species